rnacentral:lncRNA from 1 species
GUCGAGGUCUGUUGAUCUAAAGCCACGAACUGGGGAAUGCAUAAUAUAAAACGGUCGGAUGUCCACCACCCUACCCCCUCUCAUCUCCCUCAUUCACUCAUCUUCUGUAAAUCCUAGAGACAACCACCACCAAUUCUCCACCGGCUCCGGUGGUAGCGCCACCGUAAAUCGGCCCCAAAAAUACACCCCUAACUUCCCUCGCCCCCCUCUUUCCAAAUACGCAUUCAGUUUCCUUCAAAUCAGUCCCCACCUCUUCGAAUCUUCAUUUGAAGUUCAGACCCAAAACCCAAAUCAUCCCAAAUCCGCCCAAAAUCACAUCUCACGGUCUCUUGGGCACCCUCAUCCCAAAUACCAAACUAAAGACCUUCAAAUUCAAGUAUAACUCGGCGAAUUUCAAAUCUAGGGUUCAUGCAGUUCAGCUUGUUUUAGGGAAUUUUCAAGGUCGAAUGAUUUCUACAGUGAGUAUUCUUUAGUUUUCUAAUUUUAUUUCUAUUAGUUUAAUUUUAUAUUCUUUUCGUCCAAAUCUAGUUUGAUUUCUGGAAGCUUUGUUCAUAAUUGAAUUUGAUUUUAUACUUGUUUGUUAGUUUGAACAUGAUUUUGAUCCUGUAAUAUUAAUUUAAUUUUUGUUUUGAUUUUUUAGUUCAUCUCAGUCUGCUUUAGUUAAUAAUAGCAUUUAGUUUAGUUUUUUUGAUUAUUAGUAGGUAUUCCCCUAUUUUUCCUUCUGAUUUGGUUCAAUGUAAAUAUUGGUUUAAAUUCAUUCCUGUUGAUCUUUUCUUUUAGUUUAGUCUUGUCGAUUUUAAUUAAUUCUAUUUAGGGUAUUUUUAUGAUAGUUUAAAUUAGUUUUAAAUCAUUUUGGAUAUGUGUUUUGUUAAUUCACAGUACUACAAUAGUUGAUUGUUUAAACAUUUAGUUGAUUAGUUAGUCAUGACUCAUGGGUAAAGGGAUUGGGUUAGUUAACCAUAGUCAGUAAUUUCAGUGGGAUAAAAGGGGUCUUGGUUAUUAAUUGGUUACUGGCUGAAUUAUUUCUGCUCGUGGCUGCUUUCGCUGACUUGUUCUGCUUCUUCUUAAUUUCGAAUUUCAGGUACACAAUUGCACUUCUUAUGACUGUGAACUGAAAAUGUGCAGUAAAGAAUGUAUGUUAAGAAUGAGUUCUAAUUUAGAUUAGUUUACAGAUCUGUGUAUUCAACAUUUAAUUGUUUAAGUUUUGAUGGUUUUGUAUUGAUUGGACUGUAUUAAACAUUGCUGCCUUUCGAAGUUGUGGGAGCUUCAUAAGUUGAACACUAGUCGUAAAUAGUUUUGCAGUCAUUUGAUAGAAUAGUUUCAUGAUGCGAUUUAGUUAACUCCAUGACUGUUACCUCACGUAUUUGUCCAGGAAGUAGCUUGGUAACGAGUUGAAAUUUCUGUCUCAUGUUAAUAUAAUUAUUUUGAGUUGCUAGAAUUGAAUCAGUUUAGGUAAUAAUAAUCAGAGUAAGUGUUAAUUUGAAAUCGUAGGUUAAUCAUGACUAUGUGUUUAAAUCUAGUUAUGCCUGAAUUUCAUGUAUUCACCCCCAGCAUGACUGCAUUUUAGUCACACGC